rnacentral:lncRNA from 1 species
CGAAGCCAGAGUUUCGCCUAAAUAAUCCGUGGGGAUAAGGAAGCACCGUCCUUAAGGGGGAUCCAUGGUCCCAGUUCAUCAUCAGGGGACACCAAGGCAAGAACUCACAGCAGGAACCUGGAAGCAGAGACUGAAGUAGAAGCCAUGGAGGAACACUGCUUACUGACUUGCUGUCCAUGGCUCAUCUAUGUUAUAUAGGCCAGGCUCACCUGCCUGGGAAUGGCACCGCUCACAGUGGGCUGGACCCUCCUAUGCUAAUUAGCAAUCAAGAAAAUCGCCCCGGAUGUGCCUAACAGUCCAUUCUAAGGGAACCAUUUCCUCAAAUGAAGUCCCCUCUUCCUGGGUCUGUUAAACUGAUGGCUGAAGCCAAUGACAGAAAGUUGACCCCAAAUGAUUGCUGUAGUUUUUAUUUUACACACCUCAGCUGCAUCUAUUGAGGUAACCACAUGAUUUCCCCUGUAUUAUGUUAUUCUGGGGACUGAUCAUUUGUUUAAAAUACCAAUGAAUGGUGGCACAUGCCUUGAAUCUCAACACUUGAGAAGCUGUAGGCAGGAAGACGGCUGAAAGUUCAAGGCCAGCCUAGGACACAUCAUAUGACCCUGUCUCAAAAUAAAACAAACAAAAAAAGACUAUGAAACCGAGGUAACCCUUUUAGGGGAUAAAGGUCAUCCCGUCUUCCUAUACCAGUCUGGAAGUGUUUCCCCUGUUAGCAGUUCCUGGAAAAACAAAUAUUUACUGUCCUUGACUGUUAAGUGGUAUCUACCACUGGGACUGGGUGUAUCGUUUCUAGGAAGAGAUGCAAUCAUACACUGA